rnacentral:rRNA from 1 species
UACGGAGGAUGCAAGCGUUAUCCGGAUUCAUUGGGUUUAAAGGGUGCGUAGGCGGACUAUUAAGUCAGUGGUGAAAGCCUGCAGCUUAACUGCAGAACUGCCAUUGAUACUGAUAGUCUUGAGUUUGGUUAAGGUAGGCGGAAUGUGUAAUGUAGCGGUGAAAUGCUUAGAUAUUACACAGAACACCAAUUGCGUAGGCAGCUUACUGAGCCGGCACUGACGCUGAGGCACGAAAGCGUGGGGAUCGAACAGGA